CAGAAUCACUAUCAGUGACCCCUGAGGAGCGUCAGCCACGCCGAUCGGGUCAGGCAAGUCCAUCCCGUCCUGAGAGUCCCAGGCCCCCCUUCGACCUCUAACCAGAUCCCUCCUCUUCCUCGGAGACCUCCCUUUCCAAGCCUGCCUGGAUGACUGUUCUGUGACUUGACAGUGGCUCCCUUAGCCCCAAAGCCACCCCCUCCAUCUGUGACUUAGUCCAUUGUAGUGGUGAGCUGACACAACCAGAUGUGAUGUUGGUGCAAACUUGUGCCCCCCUGUGGAAUUGCCCCUGCCCUGUUCUAUAAAUAUCUAUAAAUACUCGUAUAUACACACACACACGCACGCACGCACGCACACACACACACAUACAUACACACAUAUAUGUGGCCGACACCACCUCGCCUCUGUGCUGAGAUCGGUCACUGUGCUGUCUUGUGUAGUCUUGUGGCCCAACUACAAGAGAACGCUGUUCCCCUGACAUUCUCCAUCCAAAGUGUGCCACCUCCAGUGAGUCUCCCUGUCAUGCCUGCCUGUGGACAGCCAGCCCCCUGUCUUCUGCCCGACCCUCACCUUCGAAGCAUGGGGGUGCUGUACAGGCAGCUGUGUGGCCUGAUGCUACCGGUCUUGCUGUCUCUUGGCUGAAAAUAAAACCCACUUCUGGAUGACAGGGAA